UACGAAGGGUGCAAGCGUUACUCGGAAUUAUUGGGCGUAAAGAGCGUGUAGGCGGCCUGGAAGGUCAGCUGUGAAAACUCGAGGCUCAACCUCGAGACGUCGGUUGAAACCACCUGGCUAGAGUCCGGAAGAGGAGAGUGGAAUUCCCGGUGUAGCGGUGAAAUGCGCAGAUAUCGGGAAGAACACCCGUGGCGAAGGCGGCUCUCUGGGACGGUACUGACGCUGAGACGCGAAAGCGUGGGGAGCGAACAGG
rnacentral:rRNA from 1 species